rnacentral:rRNA from 1 species
AUUGAACGCUGGCGGCAGGCCUAACACAUGCAAGUCGAGCGGAUGAAGGGAGCUUGCUCCUGGAUUCAGCGGCGGACGGGGGAGUAAUGCCUAGGAAUCUGCCUGGUAGUGGGGGAUAACGUCCGGAAACGGGCGCUAAUACCGCAUACGUCCUGCGGGAGAAAGUGGGGGAUCUUCGGACCUCACGCUAUCAGAUGAGCCUAGGUCGGAUUAGCUAGUUGGUGGGGUAAAGGCCUACCAAGGCGACGAUCCGUAACUGGUCUGAGAGGAUGAUCAGUCACACUGGAACUGAGACACGGUCCAGACUCCUACGGGAGGCAGCAGUGGGGAAUAUUGGACAAUGGGCGAAAGCCUGAUCCAGCCAUGCCGCGUGUGUGAAGAAGGUCUUCGGAUUGUAAAGCACUUUAAGUUGGGAGGAAGGGCAGUAAGUUAAUACCUUGCUGUUUUGACGUUACCAACAGAAUAAGCACCGGCUAACUUCGUG